rnacentral:tRNA from 1 species
UAUAUUAUUUCUAUGAGAAUAAAGAUUCUAAGAAUAAAUAAAGAUUUGAUUUUUGAACAACUUUCUUUUCUG